rnacentral:rRNA from 1 species
ACGCGUACCCAUCCCGAACACGACCGUUAAGCCCUCCAGCGCCAAUGGUACUUGGACCGCAGGGUCCUGGGAGAGUAGGACGUUGCCAGGC